rnacentral:rRNA from 1 species
GUGUCAGCAGCCGCGGUAAUACGGGGGGGGCAAGCGUUGUUCGGAAUUACUGGGCGUAAAGGGCGCGUAGGCGGCCUGCUAAGUCGGACGUGAAAUCCCUCGGCUCAACCGGGGAACUGCGUCCGAUACUGGUGGGCUCGAAUCCGGGAGAGGGAUGUGGAAUUCCAGGUGUAGCGGUGAAAUGCGUAGAUAUCUGGAGGAACACCGGUGGCGAAGGCGGCAUCCUGGACCGGUAUUGACGCUGAUGCGCGAAAGCCAGGGGAGCAAACGGGAUUAGAAACCCUGGUAGUCC